ACAGGGGCCAAGCGGCGACGCGCGGCGCUCUUCGUACGCGCAGGCGCUGCUUGCGAGGAUGGCCCCCGUCAGAGUAGUUGCCGAGGCAGGCCAGUCCCAUCUGCGCGUGCUCACAGGAUUCGAUGGCGUUGAGAUAAGUUCCCCCUCCUUGCACCAUCCGCAUACCCUUCCCCCACUUUCUUCUUCCUCUCGCCCCGGUCACGAACCCUAGCUUUUGAUUCUCCAUAUCCCGUCCUCCUCCCGUUUCCCAUCGCAAACCUCUGCUCCCUGCGUUCAGAUCUGUGAGCUCCAGCUCUUUGCACACUCCUGUUCGUGCUGCUUUGGAUCUGCCGUGCCAGGACCUAAUCUGCCUGUUCUUGCUCUUCCUGUGCAGGUGCAUCCAUGGAUUCAGUGACCUAGGUCAAGGAAUGCCAAUUGCAGGAAGGUGGCCUAACUGAUUUUUAUUUGGAUCCUUUCUUUGCUUGAUUGAAUCUCAUACCAUGGAUAUUGAGUGUGCAUCUAAUUCUCUUAUCUGUACCUGCAGUGAGCUUAUUGGAUUUCGUCAACAGGAUUUCAGGAUCGUCUCCUGUUGAAGGGACGAGGGAUUCUGUUCCGGUUGCUGCUCAAGGACCUGCAGAGUGUUCAAUGUGAGCUUUAUGUGAUGUGUUGGGAAGAAUGUGUUGUGCCCUCUUUUGAUGCUCCCGUGCUGAUUGUGGUCCUUCUGUGUUGUGCUGGCUCAUGCGAUAAACUAUCAGGAUGCAAUGGCCAUAUGCAGAGUAUAUGGCCCUCCUGAUCUUUUUGUGACGUUUACAUGCAACACUAGGUGGAGAGAGAUUGCCGAUGCUUUGCAAUAUGAGCCAGCCCAGCAGCCCUGUGAUCGAUCUGAUUCGAUUGUGCGAGUGUUCAAUAUGAAAGUCGACAAAUUCAUAGAUGAUAUCAAGGAGGGUGGGAUGUUUGGUGUAGUACAUGCAGGUGAGAUAUAGUAUAUAGGCUAGCACUCAUGUUGCUCUUCAGCCUUUGUUAUUGUUAUGUCAGAGCUAAGUUGUUGCCCAUGCAGUUCAGUACACUAUAGAGUUCCAAAAGCGUGGCCUGCCCUAUAUACACUGUCAUGUCUGGCUAGCUGAUGGAGGCUCAGAGUUUAGUCGUUCUACCAUUGAUGUUGGGGCGAUGCGAACAACCAUGAGACAAGGUGAAAGCUCAAUGAGAGCCAUCACUAUACUCCUUCUAGCAGACACUCCACAGAGUACAAGGAACAAUGCUCAUGAUCAGGUCCCGUCCAUCCCCUAGCAAGGAAGUUCCUGAAAAGCUCUUUACUGGUGAAGAAACUGCAGAUGGCAGUGGUGGCAGUGACAGUGGUGCAGCCACCUCUAAUUAGAACAGUUGAAGCAAGGAUGCAUGAGCAGUGAAGCUCAUGUCAUUUUGUCUCUACCAGUUGCGGCUGACUUUUGUGUACCCUUUGUCUCUGGCGAGAAGAGUCCAAUGCAUGGGAUUUGGAGUCUGCAUCGACCUCGGCUUGCAAACUGUGUAGUAUGGUCAGUUAGUAUUCAAAGCUAUCAUCUAGGUUGUUUGGUAGCUAUGCAUACUUGCUGCAUGUAAAUUUAUGGUGCUCGGAUUUGCUGUGACCUGUGAUAUUGCUUCUCCAAAUGUCGUAUGCCGGACAGACACCUGAUGAUAAGAUAAAUUUGUGCUUAGAUGUAACCAUGGUGAUCAGAUGUACUAUGAUGUUCAUGAAUCUAAUGCCGGACAAACACCUGGUGCAUA